CAAGUCGAGCGCGAAAGGGGAGCAAUCCCCGAGUAAAGCGGCGAACGGGUGAGUAACGCGUGGGUAAUCUGCCUCCGAGUGGGGAACAACACCGGGAAACUGGUGCUAAUACCGCAUGACAUCGUCGGGUCUUCGGGCCUGACGAUCAAAGCCGGGGACCGCAAGGCCUGGCGCUUGGAGAGGAGCCCGCGUCCGAUUAGCUAGUUGGUGGGGUAACGGCCCACCAAGGCAACGAUCGGUAGCCGGCCUGAGAGGGCGGACGGCCACACUGGGACUGAGACACGGCCCAGACUCCUACGGGAGGCAGCAGUGGGGAAUUUUUCGCAAUGGGCGAAAGCCUGACGAAGCAACGCCGCGUGGAGGAUGAAGGCCUUCGGGUCGUAAACUCCUGUCGACCGGGACGAAAGUAGUCUGACCUAAUACGUCGGGCUGUUGACUGUACCGGUGGAGGAAGCCACGGCUAACUCUGUGCCAGCAGCCGCGGUAAUACAGAGGUGGCAAGCGUUGUUCGGAAUUACUGGGCGUAAAGGGCGCGUAGGCGGCUUGGUCAGUCCCGUGUGAAAUCCCUCGGCUCAACUGAGGAACUGCACGGGAAACUGCCUGGCUUGAGUUCGGGAGAGGGAAGCGGAAUUCCGGGUGUAGCGGUGAGAUGCGUAGAUAUCCGGAGGAACACCGGUGGCGAAGGCGGCUUCCUGGACCGACACUGACGCUGAGGCGCGAAAGCUAGGGGAGCAAACGGGAUUAGAUACCCCGGUAGUCCUAGCUGUAAACGAUGAGUGCUGGGUGUAGGAGGUAUCAACCCCUCUGU
rnacentral:rRNA from 1 species